CAGCCUGACUAAUAUGGAGAAACCCCGUCUCUACUAAAAAUACAAAAAUUAGCCGGGCGUUGUGGCGCAUGCUUGUAGUCCCAGCUACUUGGGAGGCUGAGGCAGGAGAAUCACCUGAACCUGGGAGGUGGAGGUUGCAGUGAAUCGAAAUCAUGCCACUGCACUCCAUGACAGAGUGAGACUCCGUCUCCAAAAAAAAAAAAAAAAAAAAAGAAUUAAGUUCAAAUCUAUAGUCUGGCAUUCAAGUCUAUGACCUUCAUAGUCUAGCUCUAAUUAAUUGGACAAAUUUAUCUCCUACUUCUCCUGGGUCUUACAGUCCAGCUAAAUUGAACUCUUCUUUGUUUCCAUAUGAGCUAUCUUGUUUCCCUGAAGCAACCUUUCCCAUCUCUUCCAUUCCCAUUUGUUUAAACUCCAUAAUCCUGUAAAUCUCCAUUUAAAUGUGUCUGCCUUUGUUAAUCCUUCAAGAUUCAUAUUUCAUGCCUCUUAUAUGACUCUUCGGUUAUCUAUUUUGUUGAUAGUUUUGCAUGUAUGUCUUAUCUUUGCUAUAAUAAAGUAAGCUCCAGGAGAGUAGAUUCCUUGUCUUAUUCAUCUUUGCGUCCACCACGAUAUUUAGUAGAUUGUCUGCCUCAUAAUAGGCAUUCAGUAAGUCUUAUUGAAUGAGUAAAUGCACUUAAGUAUAGUUGAUAGACCUUAACCUACUGCUAGUAAAUUAUAGUUGGCUAAAAAUAUUCUUUAUAAGUGCUGUGCUUUGGAAAAGGAUCAUCUGCUUAGCAGCACUGUUUGGUGGGUAGUUGUUGCCCAGGCUGGAGUGCAAUGGCACAAUCUCUGGCUCACCGCAACCUCCGCCUCCCGGGUUCAAGCGAUUCUCCUGCCUCAGCCUCUCGAGUAGCUGGGAUUACAGGCAUGUGCCACCACACCCGGCUAAUUUUGUAUUUUUAGUAGAGACGGGGUUUCUCCAUGUUGGUCAGGGUGGUCUCGAACUCCCAACCUCAGGUGGAUUGCAUGACCAGCCUGGACAACAUGGUGAAACCCUGUCUCCACAAAAAAUGCAAAAAUUAGCUGUGUAUUGAGGCACACGCCUAUGGUCCCAGCUACUUGGGAGGCUGAGGUGGGAGGAUUGCUUGAGCCCAGGAGGCGAAGUUUGCAGUGAGCCAAGAUAGUGCUACUGUACUCCACCCUGGGCGACAGAGCAAGACCCUAUCUCAAGGGAAAAAAAAAAAAA
rnacentral:lncRNA from 10 species